rnacentral:lncRNA from 1 species
GUGACUGGGGGGCGGAGCUUAUCGGUUCUCCUGGGAAGUUCGGCAGGUACAGACCAGAGGGAACCCGCCCGGCCGACGUUAGUAGGCUGUUAUCUUUUUUGGUCAGGAAAAAAGGUCUCCAAUUUGAGCAAGCGGGGGGCGAUCCCGGCGUCAGGGCGGAUGGAAUCGUCGAAGCGCGUGUCUGACUGGUCGGUGGACGAGGUGUUGGAGUGGGUGGAGCAGCAGUUCCCGGGUCAGCAAAGCACGCUGCAGACGGCCUUUCUGCAGCACGCAGUGUCAGGCCGAGCGCUGCUGCGGAUGAGGGGGCACCACCUACACCACCUGGGGGUGGAGGCCCCGGCCCAGCAGGGCAUCCUGCAGGACAUCCUGCUCCUCCGGGUGCAGGAGGAGCUGGACAAUCUCAACGACAUCUUCUCGGAAUGCUUUGCUUCAUGAAUGAAGACCCACAACAGCCAAAACAUUUCUGCCAUGCCAGACAUUAUUUGCCUUCCAAAUCCGACCCCAGUGGAGGAAGAGUGCAUUGGAGAGACUGACAAGAAGGGAGUGAGGGACUGAUUGAGCAGGUCAGCCAGAUCGCAGGCACGCAAGUGAGCAACAGAAAGACAAUUCGCCCGUUUCCUGUGUGAAAUCGUGUCCUGUUCAAGAGAGACCAGACUAUGCUGUUUUCGUCCGGGUUGUGUCCUCUCUCUCUCUCUCUCUCUCUGUCUCUCUCUCUGUCUCUGUGGAGUGCACUGGCUUGCAGCCAUUUCAGCAGCGGAGGAGAACAUAAUUUCCCACAGCUUGUCUGCCACCCAGCCCGCCUCCCACUAAUCAUGACCAGUCGCAAAUUGACUUUUUGGGGCUUUUUGUCCAUCACAACCACGGAACCACCAUACAUCUGGCCUAUAGAGUAACGAAGUGAGCUGUGGGAAAGAGGAGCAAAAAGCUAACUACACAAACAGGAAUGAGAAUGAGGCAGUUAGUGUCGAGCUCCCAAGUAAAGACAUUCAAGAAGAGGUUGGAGUGGUUGUCAAGGUUCGGACCAUCUAACUAAUGUUCAACCCAAAACUGCGCUCUCCAUAAUGAGAACUGAUGGAUACGAUAUGCAUCUGUGUUUAUUUAACCAUCGGUAUCGCUUUCAAAAUAUCCGAUGCAAAAUACUUGGGAGAUCGUAAUCUCUUCACAAUGCCAUUGCUGUUCACUGCCUGAAUAAAAACAUCCAAACUUAGAAUUGGUUUGGACAAUAACACAAGCAAAAAU